CUACCGCGGUCGCUGUUGGUGGCGCCGCCGGGCCUGCGACUAGGUGGCAUCCUUCAGACACUAUAGGCCGUCUCUGCACACGUGAUGCGGGGCUCGGUCACGUUGCCCCCUGGAAGCUUGAGGAUGCGCCAGGUUUGACUCUGCAGGGCGUACGCGCUUUAGGGAUGGAAGGAAGAGGAACGCGGCAGGAAGGCGAGCCCCAAGGUGGAGAAUCGCCUGGGCGCGCAGGCUGCGGCGGCUUCGCACAGCCGCCCUGGGCGCUGCACGGGUCCGCGCGCACCCUGCUGCGCACCCACUCGCGGCCAGCUCCCUACAGAGGAGUGGAGUGACUGCUCGACUACCACCCCUCUUUUAGUGUGAGCGUCUGGAGUCCUGACCGCCCCAGCCAGCCCAGCUACGAUGAACUGUCUAAGAGGAUGUGGCAAGACCCAGAAGUAUGGGUGACCUUAUGUCAGAGGAAGUGGCUUUCUUAUUGCAGCAAAAAUUCCCGUACCAAUGUCAGUGCUAGGGUAUGGAGUUUCACUGUGUCACCCAGGCUGGAGUGCAGUGGCACGAUCUCAGCUCAAUGCAACCUCUGUCUCCUGGGUUCAAGCAAAUCUCCUGCCUCAGCCUCUUGAGUAGCCUGAGUAGCUGGGACUAAAGGACACAGUGCGUAAGGUACCUCCUUGGAAGCAGAGACCAGGCCGUUUCCAGCCACCAAACCUGCUGGCACCUUGAUCUUGGAUUUCCCAGCCUCCAGAACUGUGAGAAAUAAAUUUUUUAUUGUUUACAAAUUACCCAGUCUCAGGUAUUUUGUUACAGUGGCAUAAACAGAUGAAGACACUCUCUAAUUAUAAAGGAAUUGCCAAGGAUAAUAUUAAAGGCAGACAUAGAAGAUAGGCAUAGUUUUGGUUCACUUUGCUUCCGUGUCUUUGUACAAAUUGUUACUUCUCCAUCACCGGUGGGAUGUUCUCCUUCCUACCCCAUAUGCUUCCACCAGUUCACAGCUACCAGUUUCUUCAAGACCUGGCUCAAAGCCUAGUCCUUCCUAGGGGACUUCUUUCCUGAGUCCAGACCACUGCAGUUGCCCCUUUAUCCAGUGGUCACAAGGCAUCCACACAGGCUGACAGUUGCUACCUGAUCAUCAUCACCAGUCAUCAAGCUGUUAUUGCAUACUUGGUAUAUGAAAGGCUCUAUGUCAUGUGCUGUGGGGGAGGGAGGGAGAGCUUUGCAGAGGAAGUGGGAUUCAAGCAGGGUCUUGAAGGCUGUGUUUUAAUUAAAGAGGUGGAAAAGAAGGGGAAUAAAAUAAUGGACAACAU
rnacentral:lncRNA from 1 species